GACACAGAGGAGACAGUAACUCUGCUGUGUGUAGUUGUACCUAGACUUGAUGCCUGGAAUUCUUAUUGCGGAGGAAAGCAUUGUAACUGAAGUAUCUUUUGAUGUCAGAAGGCUCAGUUCUUGGACCCUCUGGAGACAGACAUCUGCUUUCUGGCAGCUUCAGGAAUAUUUCCAGACUUGCUGAAAAGGAGCCCACGGAACGCUGGUUUCCAUAAGACCCUAUGCAAGAUUGUGGAGUUUCCUCCAAUAUCCACUGGAUGUCGCUACGCCACUGCUGGUACCAUCUGCUCUUUUCCAGCGAGUGUCAAAGUGAAUCAUUUACAGCCUGGUACUUAAGGAGGUGCUGGGGAUUGAACCUAGGACUUCAUGCAUGCUAAGCAUGCGCUCUACCACUGAGCCAUACCCUUCUCCAGCAUCCAGUCUCAACAGGGUCAACAGUCUUAAGAGUGCUGGAGGAAUGACUGAGUUCUGAGAAAUGCUAACCCAAGUUAUGUCCUGUGGUGUGGACUGCUGGCUAUAAUGUGAAAUGACCCUGAAAAACUGGAUUUCCUGGAGUCUGGCAGGCCGACACAUAACAUAGGAGCAGCAUAAAAAUGUCAGUGAGGAGAUGAAUUAGAAGUCUUUACCUGAUACACCAGGAAGAAAACUACCAAGAAGAGAAGGAGUCAUUCAAAUAGAUGGAAAGCGAGUGGCCAAAGGAGAAGGCAGAAAACCAGGAGAGUCAU